rnacentral:rRNA from 1 species
UACGAACUGUGCAAACGUUAUUCGGAAUCACUGGGCUUACAGGGUGCGUAGGCGGCCUGACAAGUAGGGUGUGAAAGCCCCCGGCUCAACCGGGGAAUGGCGCCCUAAACUGUCGGGCUGGAGUGAGAUAGGGGUGUGCGGAACUUCCGGUGGAGCGGUGAAAUGUGUUGAUAUCGGAAGGAACGCCGGUGGCGAAAGCGGCACACUGGAUCUCAACUGACGCUGAGGCACGAAAGCCAGGGAGCGAACGGG